GAAGCUAGCUAGACAGUCGCCGCUUGCGCAAGCAAGGGGAGGAAAGUCCGGGCUGCACAGAGCAAGAUGACGGCUAACGGCCGUACGCAGCAAGGUUUUAGCAAUAAAGCCCCAAGGCGAGGAAUAGGGCCACAGAGACGAGUAUGCUUUCUUCGGAAAGUGGAUGUGAAACGCGGUAACCUCCAUCUGCAGCAAGACCAAAUAGGCUAGUGCGCUAUGAAAAUAGCAAGGCGUGGCUCGCGUCACUGGCGGGUAGGUUGCUCGAGCGUACAAGUAAUUGUGCGCCUAGAUGAAUGACUGUUACGUGCAGCGAUGCACGACAAAACCCGGCUUAUCGGCUAGCUUCAACU
rnacentral:RNase_P_RNA from 1 species